CAGAGAGUAGGGAGCAAACUAGGGCUCUUCCGCGCGAGACAAAACACAAAAAAGGGGGUUAUCCUCUUUAGUCUUUUGUGGCUGAUGAGACGUGACAAGACAGUGUCCGCUAAACGUGAGGAGAGGAGAAUUUCCCCCACUUCAGGGAGACGUCUACAGUGUUCUAACUAAGAGAGAGGACACUUGAGCAGAAAGGUUCCAGAGUUCUGCCUGUUGUCUUCAGUUGGCUCUAUCCAGUUGGGAGGACGGCCAGCCCCGAGGAGAAGCAGCGUAGACUUCUGACCUUUGUGAAGUUUAGAAGUCAGAUUCGGCAAAGCUCUACUUGAGCUACAAGAGCUACAAGACCUACAAAAUCCUAAACCAACGUCUUCCAACCUUUUCAAAUUAAUCGUCAAAGAGAGACUGACCAUUGGUCACCAUGAGCCAGAACGGACACAGCAGAGACAAGCCUGUCUACCACUUCAGUGGCGACGCAGUGGGCAGCCAGACUGUCCUCACCCCAGAGAAGAUAAGGUCAGUUCUCUUACUUACUUACUUGUCUUAUUUGUCCACUGUGUUGGGGUCACUGCAGUCGGAAAAUUUCCAUCUCUGCUCCCCCCCCCCUCCCCGUCUUCAGGAUCCAUCCCUGAGUGUCCGUUCUCUUACUGUUGUUUAGUGGUCGCUGCAGUGUUCGGUUUUGCACCGAUUUCAACAC